UUAGUGAGAACCAUUGGUGAAGGGCGAACGAGUGGUUGGACUGGAUGAUCCUGUGGGUCUUUUCUAACCCUAGCGAUUCUAUGAUUCUAUAAUUCUAAAGUGUCAACCUAUCAGUUGAAUUUUGGACUGAGGUGUAAAGCCAUAGAACCUUAACCUUUCACCUAGACACUAUACGUUUUUAUCAUUUUUGAUGCAGUCGCUUACAGAUUCAUCUUAUUUAUGCUGUUUGCCAUUUGCACAUCCACUCGACAUUUCAGAUUUUGAGUGUAAACAAUUCAUAUUUGAUUCAUAACAAUAACAAUUCAUUUUGAGAAAUUCAUAUGAAAUGGCACGAAAAAAAUAUUGUUUAUUUUAAACUACCAACAUCAGAUUUUGGAGUUCUUGAAACCAUCUUCACUGUUGCUGGACUACUUGAGUGUAAUCAUAGGAAAUUUUGCUUAAAUUUUAGUAUUAAUUCCCUGUUUAGGUUGUUUGACUAAUAUUAGAAAUUUCAAUGACUAAUCAUGUAUAUAUUUUCAUUUAUUUCCCAAAGUAAAAUGUUCCUACUUUUUUUUUUUUUUUUUUUUUUUUUUAAGAAUAUGUUUUUUGUAAAGUGUGAUUUCUGUCACUUAAAACACUAUGGGAAACUUUCAAAUUAAUUAAUUUAAUUUAAUUUAAUUUAAUUAAUUCAUUGAUGAAGCUAAACCUAUAUUUGCGCUUUCGGAAAAAUGUAUAAGAGUAUUUUCACAAGCUGGGGGUCCUCUUUAGUUUUAAUGGAUGCUAGUACCAUGACCUUUUUUCUUGAAAAGCUCAUGGAAAACUUCAGGGCAGGGGGAUGAAAUAUUUUGAUUGGCAGAAAAGAUGGGAUGUUUAUAAUUUUAAUCAAAUUUAGAAUCAAGACAUACUUCAAAUAAUAUGUCAGACUAGUGUUAAUGAGUUUAAAAUCUAAUGACAACAGCUGUCAUUAUUAGUUAAAUAUAGCCAAUGUGCCUAUGGCAAUAAGUGACACUUCUGAACAUGUAGAAACAAAAAAUUCUCAAGUAUUUAGAGAAAAGGGAGUGACUGUAAACUUAUCUAAACCCAGGAAUGUGACCUGGGCAUAAUGUAUUUCCCAAGUACAGAGGCUUCUGUAAUUUGGACAAAAGAAGUAAUUGAAUGCAACAUUACGUGUUGUUACUACUAGAACGCUCAUAUUUUAGGAAACUUGGACAUUUUUCUUGUUUCAUAAAUAUAUUUCAGAGAAGUUUGUAAUUUGUUACAUUAUAUAUUAAAAAGUUUCAGAUUAAUUUCUGCAUUACUGUGUUGUUCCCUUUAAAAUGCAUUGCUCGGUUUUCAGAAUCUUUAUUAAAAAGUAUUAACUGGGGAAAUUGUGCCCUGUGUUUAAUAGAAACAAAUAUUUUUUUGCAGAUUAAGUUUUGGAUUUAUGAGGUUAUCAAAGUUCAAUUAUACAUUUAUUGGAAUUUAUUUCUAACAGGAUGUGAGAAAAGGGAAAGAAAUUAUAUGUGUAUGUACAUAUAAAUAACACAGUACGUAUCAUACUAUAUCAGUGUAUUUGUAAUACCAUUUGGUAGUUCCUUUAAGCCUGGAAGUCUGUUUCUUUUUAUUAUCAUUUAAAUAAAGUUUCUUAUAACUGUGUAAAUCUUGUUAUGCAAUGAUGAUGUAAAACAAUCCAGAAUGAAGGAGGUAGGUGAUGGGAAAACAAGAAAACUGAGUUACUAUAUUUUGAAAUAAGUUUGUUGUAUUGAAAAAUUUAUUUAAUGCUUAUAAAUUACCUGGACUUAGAUCAUGAAUCAUCAGUUCAGUAUUUAGAUAGGGAAUUUCAAAUUAAAAUGUAAGUGCUCUGUGAAUCUAUAUUUGUAAUUCUGUAAGCCAUGUUCUUCAACCUUUUUAGCAAACUCUUGUGUCUUCAUAUCACAAGGAAUCCUUUUGCUGCAGGAAGGGAUUACAUGAAAUAGGGAUAUGAAAUAUAAUUCUGACAUUUUGAGAUGAUUUAAAAAAUUUGCAACCACUUUAAUUAGCAGUACCAACGUUACCAUGUGUUUUGAGACAGUUCCACUUCGGUAAUGCACUCUACUUAUCCACAGGUCUAACUGUCAUUUCAGUUUACUGAGUUAAUCUUCACUUUCUGUACAAAAGUUUUUACUAGUUUUGCUGAUCUUGUUUAGACAUUUCAACAACUAACAUUAAGCACAAUACCAACCAUAUUUAUUUUUUGACAAUUAUGAUACUUUAUAAUAUAAACUAAAUAUUGUGUAUAAAAAGCUAGGUUAAGAUUUGUAAAUUUGCAAAAUCAAGCACCUAGUGAUUAAGACAACAAAUCACAUGGUGACAGGAUUAUUGAAAACCACAGAAUAAUUCAGUAUGUGAGGUGCCCCUGCAGGUCAUCUGCUCAAAGCAGGGCUGACUUCGACAAGUAGGCUAGGUUGUUUGGGGCAUUCUCCAGUUAAAUUCUGAAAAUUUCCAAAGAUGGAGAUUCCUCAGCUUCUCUGGGCAAGCCAUUUCACUGCUUAAUUACUGUGAUUCUUUUUCGCCUUACAUUUAGUUAAGUCUUCCCAUGCUGUGUCUGUGACUGCUUUAUCAUGUCCUUUCAUUGUGCCUCUAUGAGAGUCUCUCUCUCUCUUUUCUAUGUAGGUUGCUCUGAAAGUAAUUCCUCCUAUUUGUUUCCAUGGAAGUGACAACACUGUUUGAUAGAGCAAAUUCUCAGCUACUGAACACUAUUUUUCAACGUUGUCAGCUCCAUUAGCUAUGCAUUUUCACCAGUGUUGAAGAAGAGUGUGCAUGCCUUGCUGGUACAAAUCUGUACCAGUGGAAAUGACACAUUGUUUCACAGUUGACACAAUGUCAUUGUUCCUAGGAAAAUGUUGCCCAUGCAGUCCGUCUUUCACUGGCCUGAAGAGAUGGAAGUCAAAAGGUGCUAAAUCUGGAUCAUUCGGUAGGGCAGUCCAGCCAAGACCAUCUGUCAUUAAUGAGGAAAGUAACUCGGAUAGUGAAUGGCCUGGUUCUUCAUAACAGUUUCAACAAAAAGAAAAUGAAGCUGUCAUUUCCAACUGCAUGUAGAAUAUUGUUGACAAGAAUUCUGACAGGUUUAUAGUGUUUAAGAACUGGAUAGGGCAGGAUAAUUCCAAGACUAUUGCAUCACAAAAUCAAAUUGAAAAGGUGAUUGAAAACUGAGUAUGAAUUUUAAUUCUCCAGUAAGAUAGUACUACAAUAUAUGUGGAGAAAUCACUGGCAAUGUUAUAAGUACUCCUGUGCUUGACAGAUGCCUGCAAAAUUCCAUCACUCUUUUCAAUGGACCUGUUUGGGUCUCUGAGAGAGAAGGUUUCAGCCUCUUAAGAGCAAAGAUUUAUAUCCAAGAAGCUCUAUUGGCCCUGCACCAACGAUUGCAAGUCUGCAAACUGUUGCAAGCCGCUGCACUGAAGAAACAAUGUAUGUGCAACAAAGGGAUGGAGACUUUUACACAAUUUGCGAGUUAAAAAACAUUCCUGGGAAGUUAAGCAUUCAUUAGAGUGCUCCUGAAGGGGCCCUUUACUACUUCUCUUAUAGACUGAACCACAUAGCAGUGAAACUGAUUUUGCUUCAGCAACUGGAUUUUCAGCUUGAGCUGUGGUAGCAUUUGGAGCAGAGUCUGUGCAGAAUAUCAGGUCAAAUCUUAGGAGGACAACAAAAAUAUGAACAGUGUGAACACUAUGAUCUUCAGCAUACAGUGUUGACAGAGGAUCUCCUUUUUAUUUGUGUGUGUAGAGGUCAAGGUUCUCCUCAGAAUUCUGUCUGAAUUUGGAUGUUUUGUAGGUCAGCUGGCUCAUACAUGUUGCUCUCAGCAGUGGAGAGUACCUAUGGGUGUCGAUGGAAUUCUGGUAUUCACUGAAGUAUUGUGUGGCUUUUUCUUUAUUUCAGCAGCCUUGUCCUCUUAAAAAUAAAUAAAUAAAGGAUUGGAUUGAAUUAACACAACAGUAAUUCUUGCUGCUAAAGAUUGUUCAAAUUGUACUUUCAUCAAUCAUGUUCAAAUGGUCAGAUGCUUGGAUAUUUAAAAAAUGUUUACAGAAAUGUUGGGAACAUCCACGGUACUGGUAACCUUGGGAAAACUGGGAAAAGAAAAGAUAAAAGAAACCUCACAUGUCCAGUAGGAAACCAGCAGCAGUCUUCCAUUUCCACCUUCUUGUCCUUUUAUAUGGACAUUGGAUUACACUCAGUUACUCACACACCUUCAACAGUGACAAAAUGGAGGCAGUCUUCCCAUUACGUUGUCUGUUAUCUGGAAUUAUUCUAGAAUGCUUUGAAAACUUUGAAAAUAAAAUACCGUUGCCAGCUGUACCAUUCCUUGUUUCAUUAGGCAUACUGAUUAUUCAAUAUAGAAAUUAUUGUAAUUUGUAUACUAUAUGGAUAGAGUUUCUGAUAUUUAAUAACUACAACACUUCAGUUCUAACCUGUGUAUCUUUUGUGCAGGGAAAAUAUACUAAUGGUUAGUGGUAGGUCUGCUUGAAGCAUUUUCUACUUCUCUAUGUAUUUCCUAUCACAUUCAGUUUAUCUGUAGUGUCACGUUAUUUUAAGUUGCAGCAUAUGUAGGCCAACAAAAACUGACAUAAAGGAAAGCAGCAGAGUACAGUGUAAUGAUAUGUGACACAUCAUUCAGACUGGGAAGGAAACUCACUUUCUUGGAAUUAAUACCUGUUACUUACUGUGUAUGCCAUUAGUAUACACUCUCCUCUGUGAAAUCAAGGUAGAGUUUACUUUAUUAUGUGAGAGAAUACUAUUUUGUACUGAAAAAAACAGCAAAAUCAUGAGGUAAAUUUUUAAGAUACUGGUUAAUAAUUUGAUCCUGAUUUUGUUUUUCCAUUUCCCAAACUCUUCUUUCUUAAGCAGAAAAGAAACAUUAAUCUUCAUUUUUUUCUCCCUGAAGUGUUUAUUAGCCAAAAAAUGUAAUGAUACCCUUAUUUGUCCAACUCCUAGCUCCACACAGUACCACCAAAAACCAAACUCCGUGUCUGAGAACACUGUCCAAAUACUCCUUGAAUGCUCUCUGAUAGUUUUAUGUCCGUCUUUUAACACUGUGGUGCACAAACCUGCACCCAGUGCUUGAGGUGAGUGUGGGCAAAGUGCAGGGCAGAAGGAAGACAACACCUCCCCUUGCACUGCGGCAGUGCUGGGCCUGAUGCACCUCAGGUUAUGGUUAGCCCUUUUUGCUUCCAGUGCACACUGCUAGCUCAAGCUCAACUUUGCUAUCAGUCAGAAGCUCCAGAUACUUUUCUGUGGGGCUGCUCUCCAGCCUCUUAUCCCCCAGUCUGUAUGUGUAUCCAAAGUUUACUCCAUCCCAUGUGCAGAACCUGGCACUUGCUCUUGGUAAACUGCCCAUGGUUGUUGAUUGCCCAGCCCCCAGAGAUCUCUCUGCCCCUGAGGGAAUCAGCAGCUCCUCCCAUAUUACUGUAGUUUGCAAACUGUAUACCUUCAAGUCCUGCAUCCAAGUCACUGAUGAGACCAUUAAAGAGAUCUGGGCUUGAAAUGUUUGAUUCAGGGUUGAGCUAGCUGCAAAAUAAUUUUUCUGUCCUGGGAAAGUUAGAGGUUUUUUUUGUUUGUUUGUUUUUUUGGUCACAAUUUGCACCAGGAAGUUAUUUUUGUGUUCACUUUCCUGAAAGAGAGAGGUUUUCCUGAGUACCUACAAUGGGUGUUUAAUGCAAAGGAAAUGGAGGCCUAUAAAUCCCAAGUAGAACUUGGUGGAAGUAAGGACUCCCUGUUCUGCUGCCCUGCUGUCAGUCUUACUGGCAAAAAUGUGCCAUGCAGUGAGCUGGGUUGGAGUACCCAUGUGGUUACUAUCUAUCGUUCCACUGGAGCAAUUUUGGCUUGGAUUUGUUGUUAUUUGAAUGUCUGUCAAAUGCUUUGUUAUGGCAGAAGAAAUGAUGACCUGGAGUCGGAGAGAAAAGGUGAAAAUUGCAGGAGAAAGAGACCAGAACCAUUUUUUUAUUUUAUUUAUGUAUUUUUUAGCAGUACUGAUAAGAAAAGUGAGCAUAAAGUGCUUUAGAGGAAGAACCUGAUAUUUAAGGAAAUUGACUCUAACCUCUCAAUUCACGUAGCCAGGUCUGAAAACAGCAAUCUUAAUCACUGUAUUGCAUCAGAUAAAAAUGCAGAUGAAACCAAAGCAGCACAGAAAAGUUUCAUAAUACAUUCCAUAUCCAAGGUGAUAAACAGAAGAGUUAAUGUUAUUGAUUCCUAAGGAAUGGUUUUCCUUGAGGAGUAAUAGCACCCCACUGUUUGCUAUACUCUUGCUGUCGGGCAGGGAUUUAUCUUGAAGGAAAAUGUAACGUGUUCCUAAACUGAAAAUAUCUGCACUCACAGGAAAAGUCUGGAAGAAGGCUAAAAGAAAAGUGAUGCAGCUGGACCUAAAAACCUGAGCUUUAUUAUUAAGCGUGUCUAGUAAAAUUUCAGGCCAGAACAGCAAAAUAUCAGCUUUAUAUUCUUAAGAUAUGAACAAAAAAAGUCUUCUCAGAUUCUGAAAGUACACUUCAGUUUUGGUGUUUAGCAUUGGAAGUUUUACUCAAUCAGUAGAAUGUCCAUACAGAACUGGCUUUGGAAAAUGUUCAUAUAUAUUGUAAUGAUACUUGCGUUAUUGAAAUUACUUAUGUUGGUAUAUUCAUGGCUGAUGGAACUGAAAAAUGUUGUCUUUCUUAUGCUUGUGAGACACUCCUGUCUGUAACCAUAAAUGUGUGAUAGGUUAUGUAUUAAUAAAUAAAUUUCAGUUUGCUAAUAUUAAAU